rnacentral:misc_RNA from 1 species
CUAAGGAUAUGGUGCUUUAGCACCAACGGAAAUACACAACGUUAAAACUUUGUUUAGUUUUGAGAGGUCUACUCUCAAACUCGUACCUUGAAAACUGGAUAUUAAGAAUUAAUGAUUUAAAAGAAACACCGAAAACUGCGCGAUAAAAGUGGAUGUAUUUCCAUAUUUUGUCAAGAUUAAGUUAUAAAGGGCGC